GUGCUCACCUCGGCAGCACAUAUACUGAAAUGGAACAGAGAAGAUUAGCAUGCCUGUGUGCAGGGAUGACAUGCAAAUUCAUGAAGCAUUCCCUAUUGUU
ensembl:snRNA U6 U6 spliceosomal RNA